rnacentral:rRNA from 1 species
GACAGAGGGUGCAAACGUUGUUCGGAAUUACUGGGCGUAAAGCGCGUGUAGGCGGUCUCGCAAGUCGGAUGUGAAAGCCCAGGGCUCAACCCUGGAAGUGCACUCGAUACUGCGAGGCUAGAGUCCCGGAGAGGAUGGUGGAACUCUCGGUGUAGAGGUGAAAUUCGUAGAUAUCGAGAAGAACACCGGUGGCGAAGGCGGCCAUCUGGACGGUGACUGACGCUGAGACGCGAAAGCGUGGGGAGCAACAGG